GAUUCCCUGCCCUGUGCGCGAAUUUCGCGUCUAUUAUAACCCUACAACCUUUUAAAAAGGGAUUUCGGCUCCCGAUGUGGGUUUGCAGACCUCCCGCCUUCGGCGGAAGAAGGGAGCACAAAGCACCGGGGAGAAAACCCACCCUGUUAUUUAUAACAGGUUAUCAUUAGCCGCUUUACGGCAGGGCGGGGCGUCA
rnacentral:other from 1 species